UUAAAUUGAAGAGUUUGAUCAUGGCUCAGAUUGAACGCUGGCGGCAGGCCUAACACAUGCAAGUCGAACGGUAGCACAGAGAGCUUGCUCUCGGGUGACGAGUGGCGGACGGGUGAGUAAUGUCUGGGAAACUGCCUGAUGGAGGGGGAUAACUACUGGAAACGGUGGCUAAUACCGCAUAACGUCGCAAGACCAAAGAGGGGGACCUUCGGGCCUCUUGCCAUCAGAUGUGCCCAGAUGGGAUUAGCUUGUUGGUGAGGUAACGGCUCACCAAGGCGACGAUCCCUAGCUGGUCUGAGAGGAUGACCAGCCACACUGGAACUGAGACACGGUCCAGACUCCUACGGGAGGCAGCAGUGGGGAAUAUUGCACAAUGGGCGCAAGCCUGAUGCAGCCAUGCCGCGUGUAUGAAGAAGGCCUUCGGGUUGUAAAGUACUUUCAGCGGGGAGGAAGGUGUUGUGGUUAAUAACCGCAGCAAUUGACGUUACCCGCAGAAGAAGCACCGGCUAACUCCGUGCCAGCAGCCGCGGUAAUACGGAGGGUGCAAGCGUUAAUCGGAAUUACUGGGCGUAAAGCGCACGCAGGCGGUCUGUCAAGUCGGAUGUGAAAUCCCCGGGCUCAACCUGGGAACUGCAUUCGAAACUGGCAGGCUUGAGUCUUGUAGAGGGGGGUAGAAUUCCAGGUGUAGCGGUGAAAUGCGUAGAGAUCUGGAGGAAUACCGGUGGCGAAGGCGGCCCCCUGGACAAAGACUGACGCUCAGGUGCGAAAGCGUGGGGAGCAAACAGGAUUAGAUACCCUGGUAGUCCACGCCGUAAACGAUGUCUACUUGGAGGUUGUGCCCUUGAGGCGUGGCUUCCGGAGCUAACGCGUUAAGUAGACCGCCUGGGGAGUACGGCCGCAAGGUUAAAACUCAAAUGAAUUGACGGGGGCCCGCACAAGCGGUGGAGCAUGUGGUUUAAUUCGAUGCAACGCGAAGAACCUUACCUGGUCUUGACAUCCACAGAAGAAUCCAGAGAUGGAUUUGUGCCUUCGGGAACUGUGAGACAGGUGCUGCAUGGCUGUCGUCAGCUCGUGUUGUGAAAUGUUGGGUUAAGUCCCGCAACGAGCGCAACCCUUAUCCUUUGUUGCCAGCGGUCCGGCCGGGAACUCAAAGGAGACUGCCAGUGAUAAACUGGAGGAAGGUGGGGAUGACGUCAAGUCAUCAUGGCCCUUACGACCAGGGCUACACACGUGCUACAAUGGCGCAUACAAAGAGAAGCGACCUCGCGAGAGCAAGCGGACCUCAUAAAGUGCGUCGUAGUCCGGAUUGGAGUCUGCAACUCGACUCCAUGAAGUCGGAAUCGCUAGUAAUCGUGGAUCAGAAUGCCACGGUGAAUACGUUCCCGGGCCUUGUACACACCGCCCGUCACACCAUGGGAGUGGGUUGCAAAAGAAGUAGGUAGCUUAACCUUCGGGAGGGCGCUUACCACUUUGUGAUUCAUGACUGGGGUGAAGUCGUAACAAGGUAACCGUAGGGGAACCUGCGGUUGGAUCACCUCCUUACCUGAAAGAAGC
rnacentral:rRNA from 1 species